GGGGUGACCGCGUGCUUUUUGCAUAAUGAGCUCGGGAGUUAGCCUCUGUGGCGAGCCUAAGGCCUAACGGGCCGGAGGCGGAGCGAAAGCGAGUCUGAAUAGGGCGUAUAGUUAGUAGUAGUAGACGCGAAACCGAGUGAUCUACCCAUGGGCAGGUUGAAGCUGUGGUAACACACAGUGGAGGACCGAACCAGUUGACGUUGAAAAGUCUUUGGAUGAGUUGUGGGUAGGG
rnacentral:rRNA from 1 species